rnacentral:tRNA from 1 species
CAUUGAAUGGCUGAAACGAAAGCACUGGUCUCUUAAACCAUUUUAUAGUAUACAUCUACUUUCAAUG